rnacentral:rRNA from 1 species
CCGCGCGCGUAGGAAAUUUGUGGCGGGCUGUCCCUAGUACGAGAGGACCGGGACGGACGAACCUCUGGUGUGCCAGUUGUUCCGCCAGGAGCACUGCUGGUUAGCUACGUUCGGAAGGGAUAACCGCUGAAAGCAUCUAAGCGGGAAGCCUGUUCCAAGAUGAGGUUUCUCACCCCCUCGAGGGGGUAAGGCCCCCCACAGACCAUGGGGUUGAUAGGCCAGAACUGGAAGCGCGGUAA